rnacentral:rRNA from 1 species
AUUGAACGCUGGCGGCAUGCCUUACACAUGCAAGUCGAACGGUAACGCGGGGCAACCUGGCGACGAGUGGCGAACGGGUGAGUAAUAUAUCGGAACGUGCCCAGUAGUGGGGGAUAGCCCGGCGAAAGCCGGAUUAAUACCGCAUACGACCUACGGGUGAAAGGCGGGGGAUCGCAAGACCUCGCGCUAUUGGAGCGGCCGAUAUCAGAUUAGGUAGUUGGUGGGGUAAAGGCCUACCAAGCCUACGAUCUGUAGCUGGUCUGAGAGGACGACCAGCCACACUGGGACUGAGACACGGCCCAGACUCCUACGGGAGGCAGCAGUGGG